ensembl:lncRNA
ACGACCUGCAGCUGUUCGUAUCUUCCCUCCCCUCUUGGUGCAGAGGCGAGGCAGACGCCCCGAGGAGGAAUCGGGCCGAUGGCGGCUGCUCCCCGGACUCUCUGGUCAGAGGUCAGAGGUGCAGUGACACCUGCUGCAGAGGGACGGAGGAUUAGUUCGUUAUUCACACAUUCGUGUUUUUGACUCAUAAUGACGCCUCUGUGAUCUGAGAUGAAAAAAAGCUGCUUUUCUGGAGACGUUCCUUUGUUUUC